rnacentral:rRNA from 1 species
GGGGNNGGGACUAUACUGCAAGUCGAACGAGCUUCCGUUGAAUGACGUGCUUGCACUGAUUUCAACAAUGAAGCGAGUGGCGAACUGGUGAGUAACACGUGGGGAAUCUGCCCAGAAGCAGGGGAUAACACUUGGAAACAGGUGCUAAUACCGUAUAACAACAAAAUCCGCAUGGAUUUUGUUUGAAAGGUGGCUUCGGCUAUCACUUCUGGAUGAUCCCGCGGCGUAUUAGUUAGUUGGUGAGGUAAAGGCCCACCAAGACGAUGAUACGUAGCCGACCUGAGAGGGUAAUCGGCCACAUUGGGACUGAGACACGGCCCAAACUCCUACGGGAGGCAGCAGUAGGGAAUCUUCCACAAUGGACGAAAGUCUGAUGGAGCAAUGCCGCGUGAGUGAAGAAGGGUUUCGGCUCGUAAAACUCUGUUGUUAAAGAAGAACACCUUUGAGAGUAACUGUUCAAGGGUUGACGGUAUUUAACCAGAAAGCCACGGCUAACUACGUGCCAGCAGCCGCGGUAAUACGUAGGUGGCAAGCGUUGUCCGGAUUUAUUGGGCGUAAAGCGAGCGCAGGCGGUUUUUUAAGUCUGAUGUGAAAGCCUUCGGCUUAACCGGAGAAGUGCAUCGGAAACUGGGAGACUUGAGUGCAGAAGAGGACAGUGGAACUCCAUGUGUAGCGGUGGAAUGCGUAGAUAUAUGGAAGAACACCAGUGGCGAAGGCGGCUGUCUAGUCUGUAACUGACGCUGAGGCUCGAAAGCAUGGGUAGCGAACAGGAU